AAAUCGGUAGACGCUACGGACUUAAAAUCCGUCGACUUUAUAAGUCGUGAGGGUUCAAGUCCCUCUAUCCCCA
rnacentral:tRNA from 10 species